AACGAACGCUGGCGGCAGGCCUAACACAUGCAAGUCGAGCGAGGACUUCGGUCCUAGCGGCGGACGGGUGAGUAACGCGUGGGAACGUGCCCUUUGCUUCGGAAUAGCCCUGGGAAACUGGGAGUAAUACCGGAUGAGCCCUUUGGGGGAAAGAUUUAUCGGCGAAGGAUCGGCCCGCGUUGGAUUAGGUAGUUGGUGGGGUAAUGGCCUGCCAAGCCGACGAUCCAUAGCUGGUUUGAGAGGAUGAUCAGCCACACUGGGACUGAGACACGGCCCAGACUCCUACGGGAGGCAGCAGUGGGGAAUCUUAGACAAUGGGGGAAACCCUGAUCUAGCCAUGCCGCGUGAGCGAUGAAGGCCUUAGGGUUGUAAAGCUCUUUCAGCUGGGAAGAUAAUGACGGUACCAGCAGAAGAAGCCCCGGCUAACUCCGUG
rnacentral:rRNA from 1 species